GAUUAAGCCAUGCAUGUGUAAGUGUAAAUAUACUAGUUUGGAACUGCGAAUGGCUCAUUAUAUCAGUUAUAGUUUAUUUGGUGAACGUACGUAUGGAUAACCCUAGUAAUUCUAGGGCUAAUACAUUGAGAAAGUCCUCUGGUGAGGUGUGUUUAUUAGAAUGAAAACCAUAUGCUUCGGCAUGAUAGUGAGUAAUAGUAACCUAUCGUAUCGCAUGCUUAAUGUAGCGAUGAGUCUUUCAAGUUUCUGCCCUAUCAGCUUUCGAUGGGAGUAUAUGGGCCUACCAUG
rnacentral:rRNA from 1 species